rnacentral:ncRNA from 1 species
GCCCCUGUGAGAAUGCCCAUAACUCCCUACCCUGGAGCAAGGAGCUGGUAUCAGGCACUUCUUAAGAUUACGCCCACGACACCUUGCUAAGCCACACCCCCAAGGGACCCCAGCAGUGAUCAACAUUAGGCCAUAAGCGAAAGCUUAACUUAGUUAAAGCUAAUUAGGGCUGGUAAAUCUCGUGCCAGCCACCGCGGUUAGACGGGAAGCCCAAGCUGAUAGUUUCCGGCGUAAAGAGUGGUUAAUUCACCCCUUGAAACUAAAGCCGAACGUCCCCAAAACUGUAAAAUGUGUUCGAGGACAUGAAGCUCACCCACGAAAGUGGCUUUACACUAUUUGAACCCACGAAAGCUAGGGGACAAACUGGGACUAGAUACCCCACUAUGCCUAGCCUUAAACUUAGAUGGACCUCUCCACCGUUCCAUCCGCCCGGGUACUACUAGCACCAGCUUAAAACCCAACGGACUUGGCGGCGCUUUAUACCCACCUAGAGGAGCCUGUUCUAGAACCGAUACCCCUCGUUCAACCUCACCUUCUCUUGUUCCCCCCCGCCUAUAUACCGCCGUCGUCAGCCCACCCUGUGAAGGUUUAAUAGUGAGCAAAGUUGGUACAACCCAAAACGUCAGGUCGAGGUGUAGCGUAUGAGAAGGAAGAAAUGGGCUACAAUUGCUAAAACAGCUAACACGAACUGUCUCGCUGAAAUCGCGAACAUGAAGGAGGAUUUAGAAGUAAGGUGAAAGCAGAGCGUUCCCCUGAACUGGCCCUAAAGCGUGCACAUACCGCCCGUCACCCUCCCCGAGCUAAAGCACUAACUAUUAAUUAAGAAUUUAUAUCCUGCAAAGGGGAGGCAAGUCGUAACAUGGUAAGUGUACCGGAAGGUGCACUUGAGUAAAUU